UUUGUUGUUUGAAUGUUUAUAUGUUUAUUUUAAUUCCUAACCUGCAAAGAAUCAACCAGAGACACAAUUUACUUUUCUGCAGAACAGGAGAGUGGACCCGAGACACGGAAAGCCGCCGUCAAACACUGUCUGGGAUC